AAGAGUCACGACUGAGCAAUGAGCAAGAAGAGGAGAUUUUACCACAAGAUCAGGGACAAGAAGACUUCUGUAGUAUCUCCCACCAUGCUGAUCUUCUGGGAACCCUUCACCUGCUUCUGCUACUGCAAAUGACUGGACAUCCAUUAAUUUUGGUUCUUCAUGUGUGGAAACCUUUUGUUCACUAUGCUUCAGAAGGCUGGGCCUGGCCUGAAAAUGGAUCUUUGAAUUGUCUUUGUACUUGUCCCAACUUGCCAAGUUUCUGAAAGAAGGACCGGAGUAAUGCCAAGGAUUGCCAGAUGAAGAGGACCUUCCUAAAUUCUGUAACUGAGAUUAACCCAUUCUUGACUUCAGGAGGCAAUUUCAACUAAUUCUCAGGAUAAAGUCAAAACAGGCCUGGGAUGUCCCUUGAAUAUCCAUGGUGUAAACAGGCUUCUGGCUCCCCCAGGUCAAGCAGAAAAACACUGUUUUAGAA